rnacentral:rRNA from 1 species
AGUGAACGCUGGCGGUAGGCCUAACACAUGCAAGUCGAACGGCAGCACAGUAAGAGCUUGCUCUUACGGGUGGCGAGUGGCGGACGGGUGAGGAAUACAUCGGAAUCUACUUUUUCGUGGGGGAUAACGUAGGGAAACUUACGCUAAUACCGCAUACGACCUACGGGUGAAAGCAGGGGAUCUUCGGACCUUGCGCGAUUGAAUGAGCCGAUGUCGGAUUAGCUAGUUGGCGGGGUAAAGGCCCACCAAGGCGACGAUCCGUAGCUGGUCUGAGAGGAUGAUCAGCCACACUGGAACCGAGACACGGUCCAGACUCCUACGGGAGGCAGCAGUGGGGAAUAUUGGACAAUGGGCGCAAGCCUGAUCCAGCCAUACCGCGUGGGUGAAGAAGGCCUUCGGGUUGUAAAGCCCUUUUGUUGGGAAAGAAAAGCAGCAGGUUAAUACCCCGCUGUUCUGACGGUACCCAAAGAAUAAGCACCGGCUAACUUCGUGC